UACAGAGGUCUCAAGCGUUGUUCGGAUUCAUUGGGCGUAAAGGGUGCGUAGGCGGCGCCGUAAGUCAGGUGUGAAAUCUCGGGGCUUAACUCCGAAACUGCAUUUGAUACUGCCGUGCUUGAGGACUGGAGAGGAGACUGGAAUUUACGGUGUAGCGGUGAAAUGCGUAGAUAUCGUAAGGAAGACCAGUGGCGAAGGCGGGUCUCUGGACAGUUCCUGACGCUGAGGCACGAAGGUCAGGGGAGCAAACGGG
rnacentral:rRNA from 1 species